CCUACGGGAGGCUGCAGUGAGGAAUAUUGGUCAAUGGGCUUACGCCUGAACCAGCCAAGCCGCGUGAGGGAAGACUGCCCUAUGGGUUGUAAACCCCUUUUGUCAGGGAGCAAGGCCGGCUACGUGUAGCCGGACUGAGAGUACCUGAAGAAAAAACAUCGGCUAACUCGGUGCCAGCAGCCGCGGUAAGACGGAGGGUGCGAGCGUUAUCGGGUUUGAUUGGGUUUAAAGGGUGCGAAGGUGGAAUGCCAAGUCAGCGGUAAAAUCGCGGGGCUAAACCUCGCUCCGCCGUUGAGACUGGCGUGCUUGAGUGGGCGAGAGGUGUGCGGAAUGCGUGGUGUAGCGGUGAAAUGCGUAGAUAUCAGGCGGAACACCGAUGGCGAAGGCGGCCUACCGGCGCCCAACUGACGCUGAGGCGCGAAAGCGUGGGGAGCGAACAGGAUUAGAUACCCUUGUAGUC
rnacentral:rRNA from 1 species